UGACCUUGAAGCGGCACAGCACAAGCCACUGCUCGGGAGAGCCUCUGGGCUGCGGCUGUACUUCACGUCUGUGUCCUGUCCUUUCUGGAAUGGAGCUUGGAACCUCUGCUUGUUUGAAGGGCUGUCGAUUAGUAAAUCAUCAUUUGCUCAGUUAAACUUUUUUUUUUUUUUGGUUUUUCGAGACAGGGUUUCUCUGUGUAGCUUUGCGCCUUUCCUGGAACUCACUCAGUAGACCAGGCUGGCCUCGAACUCACAGAGAUGCGCCUGGCUCUGCCUCCCAAGUGCUGGGAUUAAAGGCGUGCGCCACCACCGCCCGGCCCAGUUAAACUUUUAUGGUUUGCCUAACGUUGGUUAUUUUAAUUUCAAUGUCUUCAAUGUUAUGGUUAUCUCAAAGAAACUAACCGAAUUAAUUUUGGGAUGAACUUCAGUUCUAUUAUUGUUGUUUGCUUAUUUGUUUUGAGUUUGGCUAGUCUAGCACGCGCCCUCAUUUGGGGGAAUUCUGCCUCGCAGGAAGCCGCCCCCUUCGCGGGUGAGCACACUUACCCCCCUCAGGCUGCACUGAUGAAAAGCAGCUCAGAAUUCUGCUCUCAGAAAAGGUAGUUCUCUGCAGCUGCAGUGGCUGAGCUGGAAGGCUCCUCAGCCGGAAGCUGGUGUUCAGCCUUAUCUGCCCUACCCCUGUGGGAACGCUUGUCUUGGAAUGGUGUUAACACGGAGUAAAGGAGCUUAGACCGUGGGAGAAAAGGCUUCCCAGUGACAUCAUCUUGUCUAUCAGAUCAAAUCAUGCCUCAGGCCCAACUACCUCUAAGUUCUCGUUUGCAAUGGAGAAAGAUCUUCAUUAACCCAGAGAUUUGCAGAAAGAAGUCAGCAUCAGAAAAAGGAGGGAAAAUUAUAUCAUAAAUACAUACAGCAGCAGUCAGGAAACACUACUGAGCACUCAUCAUGCUGGGCUCUGGAAAGACACAGGAACUACCACUGUGGAUACAGGACUCCUAAAUCUCAGGCUCCCCAUCUGAAGAACAUUUAGGUUGUUGACCAUCUUUUGAUACUGACAUAAUAGUAUGGAAACCACUCAAGAAUACACUGCGCUGUCUGGAGUUACAGUGUCAGCAUCUCAUGUAAGCCUUUCCUGACAAAAAAAACAGCCAAAAAAAAACAAGCGAAAUGAAUCUGCAAGAAGUCUGGAGAGUCUGCCACACCUGGAAGGGGGGUUGCUGGGAAGUGAAUCUGCAAGAAGUCUGGAGAGUCUGCCACACCUGGGGGGGGGGGCGGUGCUGGGAAGUGAAUCUGCAAAAGGUCUGGAGAGUCUGCCACACCUGGAAGGGGGAGGUACCGACAUGGGGGAUGAGGAACAAGCACGGGCUUGGAAUUCACCUGCCGAUCUCAGCAUGUUCCCCUCCAGAAGUGACAUGAUGGACAACCUUGUUUGCAACACAGUUCAGUGGGCACACCACAGCUUGAUAAAUACACUAUCAACUUUGGUAUUGUAUAUAUACCAUAUAUAUAAGUUAUGUAUAUAUAACUAUGGCAUUAUAAUCUACUAUCACCUUUUCAUAGUACCUAUCAGCACAUCAGGAGUGAUGGGAGUCCUCAAAGGAUUUCAGUAUAAGAAAAAUAAGACUCACGUUAUAAGC